UUCUGAGUUCUGAUUGGCUGCCGCUGCUCGUGGUUCUGUUUCCGGUUUCCUUGGCCUGACCUUCCUGUCAGUCAGUCAGUGCGGUGUCUGCAAUCAUGGUGGCUUACUGGAGACAAGCCGGGCUCAGGUAGGAACCCCAACUCUGUGUGACCCCCAACACCCGCACAGGGGAACCCCAACCUGUGUGACCCCCCAAACCGCCACAGGGAACCCCCAACCUGACCCCAAACUGCCACAGGGGAACCUCCCAACCUGUGUGACUCCCCCAACCGUGCCACAGGGGAACCCCAACUCUGUGUGACCCCCUGAACCCACCCCCCCAACUCUGUGUGACCCCCAACUGCCACAGGGAACCCCAACCUGUGUGACCCCCAACUGCCACACAGGGGAACCCCAACUCUGUGUGACCCCCAAACUGCCCACAGGGGAACCCCCAACCUGUGUGUGACCCAACCAUUGCCACAGGGGAACCCCAACUCUGUGUGACCCCCAACCGCCACAGGGGAACCCCAACCUGUGUGACCCCCAACUGCCACAGGGGAACCCCAACCUGUGACCCCCAAACUGCCACAGGGGAACCCCCAACUCCUGUGUGUGACCCCCCAACCGCCACAGGGGGAACCCCAACCCCAAACUGCCACAGGGGAACCCCAACCUGUGUGACCCCCCCAAACUGCCACAGGGGAACCCCAACUCUGUGUGACCCCCAACCCCCCCAAACCCUGCCACAGGGAACCCCAACUCUGUGUGACCCCCCAAACUGCCACAUAGGGAACCCCCUCUGUGUGACCCCCCCAACUGCCACAGGGAAUCCCAACUCUGUGUGACCCAAUUAUAUACUGACCCCCCAACUCUGUGUAUGAGAUACAUAUCUGACAUGAUCACUUUAUAUUUCAGCUACAUCAGGUACUCUCAGAUCUGUGCAACUGCAGUGAGAGCCGCUCUAAAGCCACAGUAUAAGGCAGAGGCAGACAAGGCAGCGUUGGCUAAUGUGAGGAUCGCAAAACCGAAGAAAGAAUGAGACUGUGGAGAUUCCACCAGCCGUGUAAGUAAGUUUUCAUUCUAUCCUAAAGGUUGUAAUUCUGGAUGCCCGAAUCAUGUCCCCAUUGCAAUAUCUUUUAACAAACUUCUGAAAUAUGUUCGAAUUACCUCAGAACAUGAGUGGAAUCGGUGCCCAAGAUAUCUCCUAGCCGCAGGCAAGAUGAGAUUUACGGACUUUAAGGAUCUCAAUGCUGUUUGAAAACCGCAGUUAAUUUAACAAUGGACGCCUAGCAGAUAAUCUGUGAGGGUCAGUGGUGGGGCUAGUUUUUAAAUGGCCACUUUUAGCUCCAAAGAGAGCUCUCGUCAGAGUACUGCAAAUGCUGCAUUAUAACGCUUGCAUAGCUCCCAGGCAAACUAACAGAAUUGCAAGUAAGUUCCUCUCUCCUCCUGAUACGUGUAGAUGUGAAUUGACAGUUAAAUUAACACUGUAGCAUUUUUAAUGCUUUAGAGCCCUGAUUUACAAGUCGAUUGUAGGUCUGCUUUCUUAACAUCGCACUGUCAAAUAAAAUAAAAAAAGGCAAUAUGUUUACAGUGCAGGGUUAAAGGGCACAGGUCAUGCCCAAAACAACUUGUGCUAAUUAGAUUGAGCAUUCGAUUUUAUUUAUACAUUGUGCUAGCAGGUGUGUUGAUUAGGAGUAACUUAUUUAAAAUAUUUUUUUCCUAGCAUAUCGUGACAGUACAUAAAUGGGUUGUGCUGGGACAAGAAGUCUGAAACAAAUAAAAAAAAAUAUAUAUUUUUUUCCGUAUAUUUGCUCCUCCCACUUACCCUAUAUAGUCAAACGAGCCAUUAGCCCACUACUUUCUUGUCCCAGCAUGGGACAAACAUGUAGUCUUAGUUUUUGUGAGGCACACUGGAUGUUAGGGGGGAAAAGGCCGCUAGUUCAGCGGACAGAGAGCUGAGUGGAAAGGAGUUAUGGAGCAGCCUAAAAGGUUUGCCUUUAAUGCCAAGGGUUUUCCCCGCAACUUUUCUCCCAGCUGUGUCCGUCAAUACCUUACCGAGGCAUUGACUGAUACAUGAAGAGGAGAAAAGGCCUCCCACAGGAGAUCCCUCUACUCUCCACAUAUAGCAACCUCAGGGCAUGCACUACGGUUGCUAUGUAAACUCCGCUUGCGUUUCCAGUCACUCAGUGUACCAACAUCACUGAUGAGAUCUGCCCUGCUUAGGGACGAAUCGCCAAAUUCGAGAACAAAGGUGGGGCUCAGGGAAGGCAGAGGACAGCCAGGAGGUGGGUGCUACACGACGAGCAACACCCACAAACAGGCACUGGAACAGAGGAAACGUUGAGUAAAUCUUUAUAAUUUACAUUGAAUACACUAUGUAUAUUGUAUACUCCAUGUAUAUAGGAGAGAUUGCAGGUAAAUUACAUUAUUUAUACCAGGUUCACUUUAAAACUAAAUGAGAUGACGUGGUCUUGGUGAGUGUUCCUUUAAAAAGGGUAGGCAGUCAUUUCGUAUAGGCCCCCUAAUGCCAUUAUUAUUAUUAUUAUUAUUAUUAUUAUUAUGCCAUCAAUGCUGUUCCUAUUUUAUUUUUCUAUACUCUUUAACCUUUAUUGUUCUGGCCAAGAGCACAAAUAUGGAGGCCACAGGCAGCUGUGCAACGUAUUGAACCCCGAUAUUAUGAACUACUUAGGGUUUUACAAUCCCGGUGCUCUAUAAUCAGGUUUAUUGGUGCACACAGGAUACAACAGAAAGUAAAUGUGACAUUUCGACCUACAUGGCCUUAGUCGUGCAUGUCAUAUACAGCACAGAGUGGCUGUGCAUACAUGGCCUUAGUCUUACAUCUCAUGUACCGCACAGAAUCCGCACAUAUCAGACUGGUCCCACCCAUACGGGCAGUCCAGAUCCGAAAUGCCAGCAAGUUCCCUCUGCACGAGAGACACAGCAACCCCAGACGAUCGUUUCAGCCUUGUUAGGCAUCAUCAGUGAGGCAUAGCUAAUAUCUCCUAACAAGGCUGAAAAGAUCGUCUGGGGUUGCUGUAUCUCUCGUGCAGAGGGAACUUGCUGGCAUAUCGGAUCUGGACUGCCCGUAUGGGUGGGACCAGUCUGAUAUGCUUCAGAGAUGUUCUCUCUAUAAUGGCACAAGAUGAGCUAAAACCAGCUUGAGUUCUGAGCGGGGACCCACUGAAGGGCAGGCUAUUUCAGCUGCUGUCCGUCCUCAGUGCACUCUUGCGACUUGUUUUUUUGCUCUCCAAUAAUAGUAAGUGGGCUACCUAGCUCAGCCUUCCUACUGGGCAUUGCUAUAAGGAAGGUUAAAAAAUAGAAAAAAGGACCAUCAAAAAACAGAGUAUAGACCACCAUGAAAAUCUACUCCCUCAAUGUUAGAGGGUUAAAUCUGCCGGUCAAACGACACCAACUACACAGGGAACUCCAGAGGCUAGAUGCAGACAUCAUUUGUCUCCAGGAGACGCAUUACAAAACUGAUAAUUUCAUCCUGCCGUCCAAGACGGCAUACCCCCACCAAUUCCAUGCGACGUCCUCCACCAAAUCCAAGGGGACGUCCAUACUGAUAUCUGGGAAAGUAGCGUUCACCCUGACUUCUACAGAGGUGGAUGAAAACGGGAGGUAUAUAAUUGUAAAAUGUACUAUCAACAGCAUGAAAUACACACUAACGAGUAUUUACUCCCCUAACACGAAACAAAGCCAGUUCUUGAGGCAUGUACUCCAAAAACUCCUACCUCUACAGGAGGGGAUAUCCAUUAUCUGUGGGGACUUCAACCAUGUUUGGGAUCCGAAACUAGAUACUAACAUCUCACGACAUAGCCAGAGAUACAGAAUAUUGAAUAGGCAGUGCAAACAGAUACAAAAACUCCUUAGUAUACACCAUUACUAUGAUACGUGGAGGAUAUUCAAUACUUUAGAGAAGGCAUACACACACUUCUCACAGAUCCAUAAUACAUACUCGAGGAUAGACGGAAUCCUCAUUCAGGGCCAGGGACUGAACCAAAUAAUAAGAUGUGACAUAGGACAGAUUACCUGGACAGAUCACACCCCGGUUAUACUGACAAUUAGGGACCAAUACGACUAUAAACAGCGGAGCCCUUGGAGGCUGAAUGCUUCCUUGAUCACGGAACCCACAUUUAAAAGUGAGGUAGAGGAGGCAUUAAAUAAAUACUUUAAGGAAAAUACCACCGAAGGGAUGUCCCAGAGCAUAAUAUGGGCUGCCCACAAAGCAGUGAUUAGGGGGAUAUUUAUAAAACGAGCGGCAUACCUGCGCAAGCAGGCCAUGGCCCAAACCACCCAAUGGAGAAAAGAACUCCACCUGUUGAACACCCGUGACCAAAUAACACCGACCCCUGAAUUAAAAAGGCAAAUUUCCAAUAUCACUCACAAGCUACAUCAACAAGCAUUAGAACAAACGGCCUACAUGCUCCAGAGAUUAAAGGCGAGACACUAUACACAGGGGAACAAGGCUAGCAAACUUUUGGCUAAGAGGCUGCAGGAACAAAGGGCGAACCAAAAAAUAGCCUACCUUAUGUCCCCAUCAGGGGAGAAAAAAAUGAUCCCUAGGGACAUAUGCAACGAAUUUGCAACGUACUAUGCCACCCUGUACAAUCUGAACACAGACAAAGCCACAUUUCAACCCACACGAGAACAUAUUAACGCGUAUUUGGAUAAGAUAGAUCUACCGAUACUCACACCCCAACAAGCCGACGACCUCAUUAAACCCAUAACCAGUGAGGAACUCCAAACAAUAAUAAAUAACUUGCCGAGGGGCAAAGUGCCAGGCCCAGAUGGGCUGGACAACACCUACUACAAACAAUUCCAACACAUCCUGGCACCCCACCUGGCACUCACAUACACGGAAGCGACAAGGGCGCAGGCACUACCACGAGAUACACUAUUAGCUCAUAUCAUCACAAUUCCGAAACCAGGGAAACCACCCACACACACACAAAACUUCAGACCCAUAUCCCUGCUCAAUACAGACGCGAAGAUAUUCGCCAAAGUAUUCGCAACCAGACUGAGCACCAUUCUCCCGAAGUUAAUUCAUACCGACCAGGUCGGGUUUGUGUCAGGGAAACAAGGAGCGGAAAACACACGAAAAGUACUAGACAUACUGCAUAGCUUGCCCAAACUACACAAAGGGGGGGGACUGAUUGUGGCCCUGGACGCAGAGAAAGCCUUUGACCGUCUGCACUGGACAUUCCUAGAAAUGGUCAUGACCAAAUUUGGCAUGCCGGAAGGGUUCAGGUCAGCGGUCAAGGCGAUGUAUAGCGAUCCAACCGCCCAGGUCCUCAACGCAGGCUUCCUAUCUGAGCCCUUCCGCAUCUCUAAUGGGACAAGACAGGGGUGCCCACUGUCACCCCUGCUGUACGUCAUGGCAUUAGAACCACUAGCAGCCAGGAUCAGACAACACGAAUCUAUCCACGGGGUGAGAAUAUAAGUCUAACUUGUUCGCAGACGAUGUGCUGCUGACCUUGACCCAACCACUGAUCUCCAUGCCGAACCUUCUAAAGGUGAUAAAAGAAUACGGGGACAGCUCGUAUUACAAACUGAACGUGUCAAAAACCCAGGCCCUAGGAAUAGGGAUCCCCAGUACCAUAAUGCAAGUGCUGCAGGGACAGUUUGAGCUUGAUUGGAGGACAGACGAUGUCACAUUUUUGGGAAUUAAAUUGACGAAGUCAAUGGGCAGCCUGUUUAAGACAAACUAUGAGACCCUAUACAGGGAACUAGCUACCAGAUUGAACGGAUGGGGAGACAAAUAUGUCUCAUGGCUGGGGAGGAUGGCGGCGGUUAAAAUGUCUCUCCUCCCCAGACUACAAUAUCUCUUUCGGACAUUGCAGAUAGACGUACUGAAUUCCUACCUACACAAGACUCAGACACUGCUCUCACACUUCAUAUGGGCCAACAAAAGAGUGAGAGUAGCGGCAAAAUUCCUCUACAGGUCAACCCAAGAAGGGGGUCUGUCGCUCCCGAAUGUUAGGUCCCACUAACAGGUGACAAUACUGGCGCCAGUGGUGGAUAUGCAAACAAGAGACUCCCCACCGCAGUGGAUAGACAUAGAGGACUAUUGGAUACAGGGAACCACACUCAGACAGCUACUUUGGGUGCCCAAACAGUUGAGACCAAAACAACCCGACAUGUUACAAACCACAAAAACCAUGCUGAGAACAUGGGACAGAACUAGAGGUGUACUGACAUCCCUGACCCCGUGGUCGCCAGCAGCACCGCUGUUUAGCCUAUCAGUAAUCAACGACACCUUGGCACAUAAGGAAUGGUCUCAGAGGGGCUGCACACACAUAAAACACCUAGUAGAAGCGCAUAAUAUACUGCCAUUCCCUGCGCUCCAAGACAAGUUUCAUCUACCCCCUAAACUCAUAUUCCCAUACCUACAACUUAAAUCCAUGCUUGGAACCCAAUCAGCCACUAACGGAGACCCGAGCACACUCACAAAGUUUGAGCACACAUGUCUGAAUCCCAGACAUAAGAAAGGUACAAUCGGGGGGCGGGGCUUGACCGCCAUGCUGGCCGGUCGCAUGGCACAGCAGCUCCAGCAACUUUCAAAGCAUCAAUCUAUAACAAGAAACUUUUUGCCCUACCCGACGACCUACAGAGGUGGGCCGGCACAUGGGAGACUCUGGAACCGGGGAGAGGCUUGCGACUAACGUUUUAGUCCCCCGGAGAGAUACGCACCGCUCCUUCUGGAUGAGGCCUACUCAGGCGGUGAGCGAGACGGACGGCCGCCGCCCGCUAUCCUGCCCGAUGCUGUCUGGCCAGACUCCCUUAGCUGAGCGGACCGGGCCCUGUUCCCCCCCCCCCUGGGCCGGCGGGGGUGAUCCCGGCCCACACCCUAUACGCUCUGCAGCCUCUGCUACCACGAAGCACCCGGGGCCCUGAAGGACUGCCAACACGCAGACCAGGCCACGAGCCAUAUCUAAAAUGGCGGCGCAGUGACCCUGCUGGCUCCCACAGAUACCUGCGGCUCCCGGGGGGAUGCAAUCUACACAAGCCCUGUGAGUCUGAUCUAAUAGACAACCCCCCGGGCAUGCUCGGCCGGCCGGCACAGAAGGCACAUCACCUCCACAACGGCACAGCGACACCUAACUACCAAACCGCAAGGAGAAGACACCAAACGGCUGGAGGAAAGCAGCUGCGACAAAAUCAGGGGGACUUACCAACCUUCAGCAGCCACAAAACAGAACCCGGGCAGCAGGACUUGAGGAACCAGCAUGAGUUUCAAAGCCUGUCCAACGUCCCUCCGGGGAGCAGGAAUACCUAACUGCACGACGGCGAAGCUGUGGGGUGCUCAUACAAGCGACUACUCUCAGGACUCUAAGUAUAUGCUAAACUAUGUUUCAAACAAUCGCAACCGCAAAAGCAGGAUAGAAUACCCUAGCAAAGUUAACCCACGAGUAAUCAGGCACUUAAAACGGGUGCAAGUAUCACCUAGUACCUUUACCCUGUAUAUUCACAUUUUAAGCUAUACCUGUAUUGACACAGCAUAAAAACCUUAUGUCUAACUAGUACAGCGAUGUUACUUUGUUACAAGAAGAUUUAGCGAAGUUCACCUAGCAUGUUAACCCAUAGGUUACAGGAUUAACCAGUUCACUAAAUGGCCAAACGAUGAGAAUAGCAGAUUUCCCGUGUAACCAGGUUCUGUAACUAACAAAAAAAAAAAAAAAGUGCUAUGUACGAAUGCCAUGAUAUUGUGAAAUGUAAAACAUGUACUACUUCAUUGGCUUGGACUAGCUAUUGUGGCUUGACAAGCGUGUGUGUAAAACCUAAGCACUGCAAAAAUAAAGAAUUUAAAAAAAAAAGGUACAAUCUCAAUAUGUUACUCACUCCUAAUGGAAAACACUACGGCCCAACCGGAUAGGUUCAGAGUAGCCUGGCAGGCAGACCUGGGGAAAGAGUUUGACGCAAAACAAUGGGCACAAGCGCUCACAGCAUACAGAGGGAGGUCUACCUGCACAUCGCAUUUAGAACUGAUGAGGAAGGUGUACUAUAGGUGGUACAUGGUACCGACCAGGCUAGCAAAAAUAUACCCGGGAACAUCUACCCAAUGCUGGCGCUGUGGGGAGGAGGUGGGAACAAUGUACCAUAUAUGGUGGGCAUGCAAGGAGAUUAGACCUUACUGGGACGAGGUGGGAAACAUUAUCAAAACGACAGUAGACAAUAGCACCACGAUAACCCCAGAACUAUGUCUCCUAUUCAUGAACAUGGGAUCCCGACGCAACAGUGAGUCAACCCUGACAUACCACAUCCUCAUAGCAGCACUGACACUCCUAGCCAGGGAAUGGAAGUCGACAACAGCCCCGACAAUACCCACCCUGAAGAGACAAAUCUAUACUAACUUGCGGUAUGAGGCGGUGACCAGACAAACACAAGGCAGCAACCAGAGAUUCAGGGACGCUGUAACUAGAUGGGAAACUCACCAUAAUGAGGAGCUGUAGAGUGGAUGCCCCAAGCACACUUCUCAAGAUAGGUCCGAAUCACACGACAGAAGAGGGCCACAGGAAAAAAACACAGGAGUAAGACACCCAUGGGAAGGAUAGGGGACCCAGACUUGUGGGAUGUAACUGGCCAACAAUUGGGGAUUCCUCCCUGUAGAAUACAGACAUGCAACCACACGGAAAUAUCAAAUGUAGCAAAACCUUGACCGGCAGAUGGACAGGACAUGGAAAACUCGCUCUCCCUCCCCCCCUAGACCCCCCCACAAUCCUGGGUUUACCUCCUAUCCCACCGCAGAAGAGUGCAGUAGGGCACAAACAAACAAACAAACACACCAGGGACCGCGACCGUAACCGCAGGGCAUACACCACCCAAGAAUAGCGGAUCAGCUGGGGGCAAUGAGUGCGUAUAAACACACAUAGGCUGGGUUCUCGUACCCACAAGCCCAGGCGACAUGGAAGGCUACAGGGACUAGCUAAACAAGAGAGAGUAUAUAUUGUGAGCAAUACCAUGCCUACCUUGCAAUUGUCAGGACGAAAGUGUGAUUUGUGUUGAAUAUUCAUUGUAACCCUUCCCUGCUCUCUUCUGUACCCCAAGCUUUACUUUAUAAAACAAUAAAAAUUGUCAAAUUGAAAAAAAAAAUAGAAAAAAGGAAGGGAAAAAAAGGUGGGGAGGGGAAUUGAGGAGGGGAGAUGACGCACAGAUGAGAAAUCAUUUUAUGAGCAAACAGAGAAAUCGUCUGAAUAUCACCGAGAGAGGAGACCUUCGUUUGUUACUUACGAAAAUCAAACCAGAUAUCAAAUAUUUAGUCUCGCAGCAUCAGCCUCAAGGAUCUCAUUAGUCACUAGUAAAGGUAAUUUCAAUUUACUUUAUUGCUUCCUCAUUAAACUUUAUAAAGUUAAAAACAUUAUAAACAUGCAUAAAGUAGAAAUAAAAAGAUAAAUGUACGUACAUUUAUUUUUUUUAAAAACUCCUUCCUUUCUAAAAAAUAGUCUGCACUUGCGUGAAAACUGGUGGGCGGUAAGGAAAUUUUUCCAUCAAGAAAGAUGCAUUAGUGCGCGGUAGGUAGAAAAAUGUUGACUACCACUGGCUUAGAUUGUUCCAAUAGUAUGGACCAUUUUUGGUCCUUAGAUUUUAUGCGAGCUACUUUAACACUUUAUCAGCCGACCUGGGACUGUCUGACCUCUUCUCUCUCUCUCUCUCUCUCUCUCUUUCAGGAUCUGAUCGCCUGGCCAGAGAAAAUGCAUUCCUGAAUGCUGUAGAUUUUGCUGACCUAUAACCAUGUGAUCGGAUUGAAAUGUUCUAUUUGUUUCUAAAUUAAAUAUUAAGAGUAAAUAAUUCAUGUUUCUGUUCACUUUGCACACGUAUGGCGAGUUGCAUACAUGG